rfam:Pythium ultimum DAOM BR144 ctg_1117875575670, whole genome shotgun sequence.
UACAAUAAUAAUAAAAGCAUUAAGUGGAUGCCUUGGCAUUAAUUUUAUUUUUAGGACGUAAAAAAUGCGAAAAGCUAUAUUAAAUAAUAAUAUAUUUUGAAAUAUAGAUUUCCUAGAGAAAACUUUUUCUUUGUGAAAAUUUUAAAAGCAGUGAAUUGAAAUAUCUAAGUAACUGUUAAAAAAAUCAAACGAGAUUCCGUGAGUAAUGACGAGUGAAAAUGGAAAAUAGGUUUAUAAAAAUAAAUAAAAUUUAUUCGAAUAAUUUUAAAAAAUUAACGUAAAAAGGUUAAAGUCCUGUAGAAUAAUUUAUAUUUUUAUAAUAGUAAAAAGAGGUAUGUGUAAUCUUUUUUGAAUAUUGGGGAACCACCCUCAAAACCUAGUAAAAAUUAAUGAUCGAUAGUGUACAAGUACUGUAAAGGAAAGGUGAAAAAGAACUUUUGAGUUUGAAAUAAUUCUGAAACUUAAUGUUAACAAUCAAUUGGAACUUUUUAUUAAAGGGACAGUGUACCUUUUGCAUAAUGGGCCAGCAAGUUUAUUUUUAUAGCAAGCUUAAUUUUUUAAAGUAGGCGCAGAUAAAUCAAGUUUUAAAAAGCAAUAUAGUUAUAAAAAUAAGACCCGAAACCGAGUGAUCUAACCAUGAACAGAUUGAAAAAUAGGUAAAACUAUUUGGAGGCUCAAACUCACAUGUGUGGCAAAACAUGGAGAUGAUUUGUGGUUAGGAGUGAAAGGCUAAUCAAACUCGGAGAUAGCUGGUUUUCCG